CGAGAGGCGCCCGGCAGGCCGCCGGCACAUGCACAUGCGCGCGCGCCCUCCCGAAGCGAAGAGCCUUGAAGCAAGCAAGUCCCGCUCCCUGACCGGCAACCGCGAGGCAGCGCGCCCACCCGUUCGCGGCCGGCGGCCCCCGUCUCCUUCAUCAAGAUGGCCUCGUUGCCCGGCGCUGGCGGUGAGCCGCCGACGGUCCCGGC
rnacentral:lncRNA from 1 species